UAGGGAAUCUUCGGCAAUGGACGAAAGUCUGACCGAGCAACGCCGCGUGAGUGAAGAAGGUUUUCGGAUCGUAAAACUCUGUUGUUAGAGAAGAACAAGGACGUUAUUAACUGAACGUCCCCUGACGGUAUCUAACCAGAAAGCCACGGCUAACUACGUGCCAGCAGCCGCGGUAAUACGUAGGGGGCUAGCGUUGUCCGGAUUUAUUGGGCGUAAAGCGAGCGCAGGCGGUUUCUUAAGUCUGAUGUGAAAGCCCCCGGCUCAACCGGGGAGGGUCAUUGGAAACUGGGAGGCUUGAGUGCAGAAGAGGAGAGUGGAAUUCCAUGUGUAGCGGUGAAAUGCGUAGAUAUAUGGAGGAACACCAGUGGCGAAGGCGGCUCUCUGGUCUGUAACUGACGCUGAGGCUCGAAAGCGGGGGUAGCAAACAGG
rnacentral:rRNA from 1 species